UACAGAGGGGGCAAGCGUUGUUCGGAAUUACUGGGCGUAAAGGGCGCGUAGGCGGCCUGUUAAGUCGAACGUGAAAUCCCCGGGCUCAACCCGGGAACUGCGUCCGAUACUGGCAGGCUUGAAUCCGGGAGAGGGAUGUGGAAUUCCAGGUGUAGCGGUGAAAUGCGUAGAUAUCGAGAGGAACACCUGCGGCGAAGGCGGGUUGCUGGGCUGAUACUGACGCUGAGGCGCGAAAGCCAGGGGAGCGAACGGG
rnacentral:rRNA from 1 species